GGUCAGUUACCCUGGAAACAAGGGAGAGGACAUUCGUAGUCCAGCAGUCAUUACCUUGUGACUACCUUGGGACUCUGUAACUUUACACUUCCUGGUUUCUGGAAUCUGGACAGACUGGUUUCAGUAACUAAUGGCCUAUUCUAGUAACUCAUGCCCUGUACCUAAAAGGAGAAAUCUUAGGCCUUAGAUUUAGGCUGAAUGCAUUUUGGUCUUAUUUCUAAGAUGGCUCAUUUUGGUCUCACAACACUAGGGCUGUAGUUCAGUGAACAGCACUUGCCUCAGUUUUAUAAUACCCUAAAUUAUAUUCCAGUUCAAUAACCCCUACCGUAAUUUUUCUGAAAAGAAAUAUGAAGAACAUUUAUGAAAAUGUUGGUUACUAAUUCUCCAUUUCUUCCCCCUCUCUUCUUUUUUCCAUCACAGUUGCUGGCAGUUCUUACAAAGUAGUGGAAGGUGUGGUGGGUCACCCUGUCACACUGCCAUGUACUUAUUCCACAAAUGGGGGAGUCACUACUGCAUGCUGGGGCCUCGGGGAAUGUCUAUAUGAUCAUUGUACUAGAACACUUAUCAGGACCAAUGGAUACCAUGUCUCCUAUAAGAGGAGCAGCCGAUACCAGCUAAAGGGGCAUAUUUCAGAAGGAAACGUGUCCUUGACAAUAGAGAAUGUUGUUCAGAGUGACAGUGGUCCAUAUUGUUGUAUAGUGGAGAUUCUUGGAUCUUUCCGUUAUAUCACCUAUUCCUUGGAAUUUGAACCAGAAAUUUCCACAAGUCUUCUAAGAAGUCCCACAACUGCAGGAGGAUACAGAACUACAGGAAGACCCACAACUUCAGGUAGACCCACAACUUCAGGAAGACCCACAACUACAGCAAGACCCACAAGUUCAGGAAUACCCACAACUGCAGGAAGACACACUACUUCAGGAAGACCCACAACUUCAGGUAGACAUACAACUUCAGGAAGGCUCACAACUACAGCAAGACCCACAAGUUCGGGAAUACCCACAACUACAGCAAGACCCACUACUUCAGGAAGACCCACAACUUCAGGUAGACCUACAACUUCAGGAAGGCCUACAACUGCAGUAGACCCACAAGUGCAGGAAGACACCCAACUACAUUAAGACUCACAACUACAGCAGGACCCAUGACUACAUUUACCACGGAAGACUCCCCUUCCCCAUUCUCCCAAGAGCCAGGCAACAUCCAGUAAUCAGGUGGAAGCAGCUUUUGAGAGAAACGAUGCCCUUAUUCCCAUCUACCUGUUUUUUUAACAAUAAACGAAAGUCUAGAA